GAGUUUGAUCAUGGCCAGGAUGAACGCUAGCGGCAGGCCUAACACAUGCAAGUCGAGGGGUAGAGGCUUUCGGGCCUUGAGACCGGCGCACGGGUGCGUAACGCGUAUGCAAUCUGCCUUAUACUAAGGGAUAGCCCAGAGAAAUUUGGAUUAAUACCUUAUAGUAUAUAGAUGUGGCAUCACAUUUAUAUUAAAGAUUUAUCGGUAUAAGAUGAGCAUGUGUCCCAUUAGCUAGUUGGUAUGGUAACGGCAUACCAAGGCAAUGAUGGGUAGGGGUCCUGAGAGGGAGAUCCCCCACACUGGUACUGAGACACGGACCAGACUCCUACGGGAGGCAGCAGUGAGGAAUAUUGGUCAAUGGGCGCAAGCCUGAACCAGCCAUGCCGCGUGCAGGAUGACGGUCCUAUGGAUUGUAAACUGCUUUUGUACGGGAAGAAACAACUCUUCGUGAAGAGUCUUGACGGUACCGUAAGAAUAAGGAUCGGCGAACUCCGUGCCAGCAGCGCGGUAA
rnacentral:rRNA from 1 species